AAAUGUGUCGGCAAUAGAUAAUAGUUGCUCAUAUUGGUCAUGUGGACGAGAGUGGCGCAACUUGUAGACAAAACUCAACAACAAUUAUUUUUUAAGAUAAAGAUAAAGAUAAAGAUUCUUUAAUUAUUUGCUCACUUCCUGUUAUUCAUUGCAUGCUGCUCUAAAACUCUACAAAAAUCGAUCUGCUUGCUUUGUGUUCUUUUUUGAUCUUUGAAGAAUGGCUGAACAAAUUCCAUAUGCUGUUGCUGCAAGCCUAGUUAACAGGUUGGCUUCUGCUGCUUUUCGUGAGUUUGGACGGAUUUAUGGUGUUAUGGAUCAGUUGGAAAGGCUUAAGAGUACAGUUGAAUCCAUCAGAGCUGUGCUCCUUGAUGCUGAGGAGAAACAACAGAAAAGUCAUGCUGUGCAAAUUUGGAUAAAAAGACUCAAAGAUGAUGUACUUCAUCCUGCUGAUAACUUGCUAGAUGAAUUUCUUAUUGAAGAUAUGAGACACAAAAUGGAUGAAUCUCAUAAGAACAAAGUGAGUCAGGUACUUCAUUCUUUAUCUCCAAAUAGAAUUGCUUUUCGCCGAAAAAUGGCUCAUGAGAUUGAAAAAAUACAAAAAAAACUUAAUGAUGUGGUGAAAGAUAUGUCUAGCUUGAAUCUUAACCACAAUAUUGUUGCGGUUGAGCAAAGUAACACUAUAAGGAGGGAAACGAGUUCUUUUGUGUCACAAUCAGAUAUCAUCGGAAGAGAAGACAAUAAAAAUGAGAUUAUAAGCUUGUUGAGGCAAUCACAUGAAAAUCAACAUAUCUCUGUGGUUGCUAUUGUUGGGAUUGGUGGUUUGGGAAAGACUGCUCUUGCUCAAUUGGUAUAUAAUGAUGGUGAAAUAAAAAAUAUUUUUGAAAAUAUUAUGUGGGUAUGUGUCUCUGAUAACUUUGAUGUCAAAACUAUUCUCAAGAACAUGUUGGAGUCAUUAACAAAGAGCAAAAUUGAUGAACCGUUAUCAUUGGACAACUUGCAAAAUAUGUUUCGUGACAAAUUAACUAGUCAGAGAUACUUGUUAGUUUUGGAUGACAUUUGGAAUGAGAGUUUUGAAAAAUGGGCUCAAUUGAGGACUUACUUGAUGUGCGGUGCUCAAGGCAGUAAGAUUUUAGUGACAACUCGUAGUAAAACCGUGGCACAGACAAUGGGUGUAAGUGACCCCUAUGUUUUGAAUGGUUUGACUCAAGAAGAAUCAUGGGGUUUGUUAAAGAAGAUUACGUUUGGGCACGAUACUAUUGAAGUGAAUCGGUCUCUUGAAUCAAUUGGUAAGAAGAUGGCAAAAAAGUGCAGUGGCGUUCCACUAGCAAUCAGAACACUAGGAGGCCUACUACAGGGUAAAAUUGAAGAAAGAGAAUGGAUUGAUGUUUUACAAGGUGACUUUUGGAAAUCAUGUGAAGACGAAGAAAGCAUCAUGCCAGUGUUGAAACGAAGUUACCAAAACUUGUCGCCUCAACUGAGACAAUGUUUUGCCUACUGCUCUUUAUAUCCCAAGGAUUCGAUAAUACAGAAGGACGAGUUGAUUCAUCUUUGGAUGGCGCAAGGUUAUUUUGAAUGUUCAGGUGGAAAGAAGCUCAUGGAAGAUAUCGGUGAGGAAUUCGUAAAUACUUUCUUGAUGAAGUCAUUUUUCCAAGAUGCUCAACUUGGUUUUUUUGGUGAUAUAGUUCGUUUCAAAAUGCAUGAUUUAAUACAUGAUCUUGCAAUGCAAGUUGCCGGCAAUGAUUGUUGUUACUUGGAAAGCGAGACAAAAAGACCUGUAGGAAGUCCCAUGCAUGUAAUGUUGAAAAGUGAUGAUAUUGGUUUGCUAGAAUCAGUGGAUGCAAGUAGGAUGCGAACUUUGAUUUUGUUGUCCAGUCAUGAUUGGAUUAUGAAUGAGAAGGAAUUGUCUAUUAUUUUAAAAUUCAAAUACUUACGCGUCUUGAAGUUGUCAUAUUGUUCUUUAAGUAAGUCGUGUGAUUCAAUCGCAAAAUUGAAGCAUUUAAGAUAUAUUGAAUUAUGGAACUGCAAAGGACUAGGAAGUCUUUCCAAAUUCAUAAGUUAUCAUGUUUGCUUACAAACAAUAAUAUCAAAGGAAUGUAAAGAGGUUGAAUUUUCUGCAAAAGAUAUCUCAAAAUUAAUCAAUUUGAGACAUUUUCAUAUUGAAAAUUUGAAAGCCUCUGAAAAGAAGAAGACAGCGUCUCAAUUUGGAAAAUUGGGUGUGGGGGGACAGUAUAAUAUUUUUUCAAAGUUUUUUCUUUCACUCACAAAUAUUGUUCGAAUCUCUCUCGAAGGUUGUCAUGGUUUGAAGUAUCUCCCACCAAUGGAACGUCUCCCGUUUCUUAAGUCAGUUACUAUAUGUUAUCUUCGUGAAUUGGAAGUCAUAUAUUAUGAAGAGCCUCUUUUAUCGGAAUCAUUUUUCCCAUCCUUGGAGGAACUCACAAUUAGCGAUUGUCAUGAGCUGAGGGGAUGGAGUAGGAUGAGGGAUGAUGUCAAUGAUGAUGAUGAUGAUAUCUCUUCACAGUCAUACCAUCUCUCCUUUCCUCGUCUUUCUGAAUUAGAGAUACAGUGUUGUUCAAAGUUGACUCACAUGCCUACUUUUCCAAAACUUGACAAGAGAUUGAUAUUACUACAUGCUAGAGUGGAGCCAUUGGAAAUAACAUUAAAGUGUUCGAUUGAAUUACCUCCUCUUUCCAUGCUAAAAAACUUGGCAGUUGGCGGAGAUGAUCUAGAUGUGAAAAAACUCCCAAAGAAUUGUCUGCAAAAUCUGAUUUCUCUUGAGGAAUUAUUUUUAGAUGGGCUUCCAAGUCAAACAAUUCAGGAAAUUGAAAUUUUGUUUAUGGACGACCUCAACUAUCUUCCUUCAUUGCGAAAUAUUAUGUUUCGUUUUUGUCAUGAUCUAAAGGCAUUGCCAGAUUGGAUUUGCAACCUCUCAUCACUUCAGUAUAUGGGCAUCGAUUUCUGUGAAAAUUUGGAUUCACUGCCUAAAGGAAUGCCUCGCCUUGCCAAAUUGCAGACCCUAGAUAUCCUUGAGUGUUCCCUUUUAAUUGAUGAAUGUGAGACACAAACAAGUGCAACAUGGCCCAAAAUUGCUCACAUCCCAAACAUAAUCUUAAAAAGGUUUGAAAUAUUUUAUUUUAAAACUUGCAAUUUCUUUUCACUUAUCCAUGCGUUAUCUUUUGCUGUUUUAAGUUUAGAUUCAGAAUUUUAAAGUGUUCUUUUAAGUGCAAAGACUCAUUGUUGACUGUUGACAGGAAUUGGAGGAUUGAAAAUGGGAUCAAUUUCACUAGGUAACUAACUGUCAAGCUAUGUAUCCAAGCUGGUCAGGUUAUGAUGCCCAGUUAUCCAAAAGAAGCUAUGUGCAUGGUGCUCUUAUGGUAUUUUAUUGGUGUUGUAUUGGUACUUUAUUUCGAAGUAGUCUAUGUUAUGCGAUGGUAUCUUAUUCAAACUUUGUUGAUGCUUUAAUUAUUGGUUGUAAGAAGUUGUUGUACAUUUUAUCUAAGCCUCUACAUUUCAUUACUUUGGAAUUAAUGGAGCAAAUAGCUAAAGAACAUUUCACUGCUUUUGGAUCAA